UACGGGGGGAGCAAGCGUUGUUCGGAUUUACUGGGCGUAAAGGGCGCGUAGGCGGUCAGCACAAGUCAGUUGUGAAAUCUCCGGGCUUAACUCGGAAAGGUCAACUGAUACUGUGCGACUAGAGUGCGGAAGGGGCAACUGGAAUUCUCGGUGUAGCGGUGAAAUGCGUAGAGAUCAGCAGGAACACCCGUGGCGAAGGCGGCCACCUGGGCCGUACCUGACGCUGAGGCGCGAAGGCUAGGGGAGCGAACGGG
rnacentral:rRNA from 1 species